GCUUGUGAUCCACUUUCACCGCCUUAUCGAGCUCCAGACCAUCUCCUUGGCAUUCUAACUUGAUCACACCGUGCUCAUCUCGCCCUGGUGUCACAAUGAGGCGCCCACUAACAGCUGGGGGAGAGAAUCAUGGGCAUGAUUACAUUGCCCCUACUAGGAACGUGGGUUGAAUGUCUUUUUAUUCAUUUAUGCUUGGGCACCGGUAUCAUUAGAUAAAUCUCUAUCUCAGGAUCAUCCUGAUACCAAAAUAUGCAUUGGGCGUGACUUGUGGAAUGAGAUAUAGACGUUUCCAUCAUACCCAUAUAUCGGCGGAAGGGCGGAUGGCGCAGGGAUUGCACAAAAUCAACCGUUGUGCUGUGCACAAAGCAUGUAUGCAACAUUUAUGCUUGGGUACCGGUAUUAUUCGAUAGGGCGGCAUCUCAAGAUCAUGCUGAUACCAAAAUAUGCAUUGGGCAUGAC
rnacentral:sRNA from 1 species